UUGGGCAAACAGACUUUCAGCACAGUGGUAUAACCAAUCAAAUCCUCUCUUUCAACCGGGAGGGCGGGGCAUUUAGUGGAAUGUCAAACUUAUUGCUUCUGCUAACUAUAACGACGCCAAUAAAACCGAUUGUGUCCGGAAUGGAGCACAGGGAACGAAAAGACACGACUCUGAUGUUCAUGAAAAGACUUGGGUCACAGCUGAGAAAGCCACUUCACACAAAAAAAAAAGCCUUCACACAAAAGAAGACUGGGAGGCUGCUAAAUGCAGUUCAACAUGGCAAACAUGAAUACAAAGCUCCAGUAAGCCAGCAGGUAAAUCAUCAUAUAGAAUAUUUAGCAGUUUGUCACACUUUAAUCCUUGUAAUUAAUUAUAUUUCUCA